CUCAUUUCUGUCAGCUAGAAGCCAUGAGAAGGCAAAGGGAAAAGGACAAAAAGAGACAACAACUGUUACAGGUCCAUGCAGAGCAUCUUUUGCUUCUCGCAAGAACAGCCAAACCCCCUCUCGCCCCCCCCCCCCCCCCCCCCAAAUGCUAGAGCCAGUAGACAGUCCAUCUCUCCACUUCCUUCUGAAGGUUCAGCUAUUCUGCAGCUUGAGGUCCAUAAGUGAGGUCCUGACACCCACUCAGGAGGUGAAAGGCAGAGUGCAUGUGCUGCCACUGGAUGGGAGUAACAUGAAUCACCAAACACCACAGCUAUGUGGUGUGGCCAUGCAGGGAGAAGGAGAAGCAUUGAACCCAAUACUUGUCACCAUCCCAAGCUUGGACCAGCCAUCCCAAAGAGGGAUGUCGCUAUGGGUAUCUGUACCACAUGCAAUGCCCAGGAGGUGCCACCUUCUCAGUUAUUGCCCAUAAGAAGAGGACAGUGGUUCAGGAAUGACUGCGAGAGGAGGACAGCACUCACAACACCAAAUACUUCAUGGUCUUGUCAAGAAUCAUUUCACAGUCUGUGUUUUAAGGAGAGAACUUUAGAUCCGAUUUCAGAUUUCAGACAGUCUUUGGAUGUUACCUUUCAAUAUUCUCUGAAAAAGUUGUCAUCUUAGGUUUAAAUAGUACCUAAAAAGUGCAAUGUCAAAAGAAAACCUCUUCCACCUGCUUCCAGGAGACCAAGAUGCUGCAGAAGAGAUU